rnacentral:lncRNA from 1 species
AGUAAUCAAGAAAUAAAAGUUUCUAAAAUGAUAAUACAGAGUUGUUAAUUUAGAAAGAAAAACUUGAAAAAGACGGGAUUUUGUACAUUAAUAAUACACUGUCACAUUAAGACCAGUAGAUUGACUCAUAAGACGUCGUUCGCUUCACAACUCUCAGAUCGAAAUAUCUAAAAACUUUAUAGAUAAAUCUCAACCGUCCAAAGUGCCAUGCCAUUAAGUUCCUCUAUCACUUUAGAUAUUUGCUUUUUUUUCCUCUGUAUCAGAAACUACGUCGUUUUCAACAAUCGUAAGUGACUUCUGAUACGUAUUGCAUAAACUCAGCAUCGUUCUCAAUCCCAGUCAUAGUCUCCGGCGCCAGAACUACUUCCAGAUCCACGCUUCCGUUUCCUUCUCUACCGGGAAACGCCGAGAUCUUCCCGUCGAAUUUAUUCGCUCCGCCGCUUCUCACAGCUAACGGUUUUCCCCAUCCGAAAUCAUUGUCGUACAUUGGGAAUCUCGGCGAGCUCCCCAUCGUGAUCGAAGCUCCAUCUGGAUUUCCGAGAGGAAACAGCCUCGGAUCGCUUUCCCAAGCGGCGAUUCCACGGCGGACCGUCGCGUCGUCGUGCGCCACCACGUUCCUGUGUAACUGUUCGGCGGACCACCUGAGAUCUUUGCUUAGCAGAUCUCCCGCAGACGCCAACGUCGGUAUGCUCUGUAUCGCGUUUCCGAAGUAGUACGGAUCCAUCUUCGGCUCAAGCCGGUGCCGGCAAUUAACCGCCAUUCGAAACGUCGUCGUCUUGCUCGGAUCGAGAUUCCUCGCUCGUGUAACGGAUCGCCAUAGCUGAGCGCUGAGAGAUUGGAACGAUGAAAUCUCAGCCGUCCGAUCAUAACUCUUCUUAUUAUUCAAAAAACUAUCCAAAACGGUUGUUAUUUUUCCGUUAAUCUCUCCGUUACAUUUCCUUCCAUCGUUAACGGCAGUCUCAAUUCCGUUAACUCUGUUAUUCGUCCUCUGUUUCAGUUUGGUAAUCGCCUCUCUGCUGAAAUGAAAAAUUCUCUCCCGUAGAGGUUGGUCGGCGUCGAAAGUGACACGUGGACCACCGGGAGGGACUGGAAGAACGACCGGAGAAUCGAAGACGGUGUGGCGGGAGAAAUCUGGAAGGUGUUUGAUCUUACAAGCACCGCUAGUGACGUCAGCAAAGGUGUUGAAGAAGUGCCAGAAGGAAGUUCCGUCAGUAACGGAAUGAUUCACGGUACAUCCGAUGAAGACACCGUCGUGGAGCUCCGUCACUUGAACGGCGGCGAGAGGCUUAUGAUGACCGUUGUAACUAACGAGACGCUCGAAGACGAAAAACUCACGGAAAAGCAGAGGAACGUCUUCACCUGGUAAGAGAACAUCAGAGAGUUUGACGUGUUUAGCGGAAGCGGCGACGAAAUCAACUCCGGCGUCGUUGCAGACAAUGGAAAUGUGACCGGCGGGAGUGGUGGAGAAACGGCCGGCUAAAGCAGGGAAGAGGGAAAGAGUGGAGGAGAGAGAACGGCGGAGAGAGGAGACAAGGUCGUCGAAGGAGAAGGAAGGAGGAGGGCUGGUGAGGAGGACGCCUUUUUGAAUGUAAUGACAUGAGAGCAUAGGGAGGUCGGAGACGGAGAGACGGAGAUCGGAGACGGUGGACUUCUUCUCCGGAUAGACGAUACAUUUUGAAAUUUCAGUUACCGAACAAGAAGGCAUUUUAUUUGGACAAAAAUGUUUUAAAGAGGAUAUGGAUUUUGGGAGUUAUGGGUUUAACUUGCCCGUAUUGGUGAUGAGUAGGAGUUAU